rnacentral:rRNA from 1 species
CACUCCUGCGGGAGGCAGCAGUGGGGAAUAUUGCACAAUGGGCGCAAGCCUGAUGCAGCCAUGCCGCGUGUGUGAAGAAGGCCUUCGGGUUGUAAAGCACUUUCAGCGGGGAGGAAGGCAAUGCGGUUAAUAACCGUGUUGAUUGACGUUACCCGCAGAAGAAGCACCGGCUAACUCCGUGCCAGCAGCCGCGGUAAUACGGAGGGUGCAAGCGUUAAUCGGAAUUACUGGGCGUAAAGCGCACGCAGGCGGUCUGUCAAGUCGGAUGUGAAAUCCCCGGGCUCAACCUGGGAACUGCAUUCGAAACUGGCAGGCUUGAGUCUUGUAGAGGGGGGUAGAAUUCCAGGUGUAGCGGGGAAAUGCGUAGAGAUCGGGAGGAAUACCGGUGGCGAAGGCGGCCCCCUGGACAAAGACUGACGCUCAGGUGCGAAAGCGUGGGGAGCAAACAGGAUUAGAUACCCUAGUAGUCCCAUG